CUGCCGGCGCGCGCGCGCGCGCGCGCGGGCGGGCGGGGCCGGCCGGGGGCGGGGCCUCGUGCCAGCCGUCCCCGUCACCCGCGCGCCUCCGCCAAUUGCACUGCGGCCCGGGGGCUCGGCCCCGCCCGCCGAGAUGCGGCUGGGCGCGAGGCGGUUCCUGGCUGGCGCGAAAGCCGCGCCCUCCCCCUCACCUCACGCGCCGCGCGCACCCGGCCAGUCGCGCGCUCCCAGGGCGCAGGGUCCUAAAGUCUCCGCCGCCGCCUCCGCACCUGGCCACGGGCUACUGACGAGCUCCGUCGUCCUGAAACCGCGUUAUGUCCUGUCUUUCCUCUUUCUGGGAACCCUCCAUUGCCCCCCUUGCCCACAUUAGGAACUCAGAGCCUCCUAACCACAACAUAACUGGAGGUUUAUCGACGUUAUCUUUCUCCCGGUACCUAUAUCCACAUAGCCACCAUUCACUGAGCUCUUGUGUGUCAGGCUCCAUGCUGAGCGUCUGACUGCAUCAUCUCAUCAAAUCCCCAGUAAUUAAGCAUUGUUUUUAAUCUCCAUUCUCAGAUGGAAAAAAAACAAAACCUGAGGCUACGAGAAUUCAGCACUAGAGUUGCUCUCAGGCUGUGUAAUAGUCACUGACAAAUAUUUACUGGUCUCCCACCACUGCUACAUACAAGCUACUAUUCUGGGCAUUGGAGCUGCAGCCAUGUACAAUACGGACACCUAUCCAAGUCUCUGGGCACUCAAAGGCUAGAAAAUUCUUUUUUUUUUUUUUUUAAUAAGACUUCACUUUUUAAUGUUUAUUUAUUUUGUGAGAGAGUGAGAGAGAGAGAGAGACAGCGAGUGGGUGAGGGGCAGAGAGAGAGGGAGACACAGAAUCCCAAGCAGGCUCCAGGCUCUGAGCUGUCGGCACAGACCCUGAGAUCAUAACCUGAGCCGAAGUCGAUGCUUAACCAACUGAGCCACCCAGGCGCCCCAUAAGACUUCAUUUUUAAGUAAUGUCCACACCCAAUGUGGGGCUCCAACUCACAACCCUGAGAUCAAGAGUCGCAUGCUCUAUGGACUAAGCCAGCCAGGCACCCUGAAAAGACUAGAAAUUUCUAAGUGCCAAAUCUGAUAGGAACAUGCUGCAGGACGUCUCAGGUCUCAGCAUCUGCUUACAGGAGUCCAUGUUACCAAAGUGAUCCCAGGUCAGUUUUUGGUGGACUUUCUUUGUUGAUGAGGGAGGUUACUUUUCAAAUGUGGCACAGGACUCACCUCUGACCUCAAAGAAAAGCGAAUGAGUUGAGCCAAUUAAAAACCAAAAAGGACAGAAGAGCUAAUGUUCAUAAAAUCAGUGAAUACUCAUUAAAAUUUUGGAACAACUCUGUGAGCUAAGUCCUCUUAAUAUUAUUAAAAAUAGGGGGCCCGGGUGGCUCAGUUGGCUAAGUGACUGACUCUUGAUUUCAGCUCAGGUCAUGAUCUCACAGUUGUUGAGUUCAAGCCCGGCAUCCGGCUCCUCGCUGCCAGUGUGGAGCCUGCUCAAGAUUGUCUCUCUCCCCCUCCCCCCGCCCAAAAUAAAUAAACUUAAAAAAAAAAAAAAGGUAAUAAUAUUUACAGAUGAAGAUACUGAGAUUCAGAUAAGUGCUUUGCUAAUAAGUGACAAAGACCCAAUUCCAGGAUCUCAAUUCUGAAUCAUUAUUUUAUACUGAGCAACAGCUAAAGAAGCUGAGGCCAAAGGAGGACUUUGCAGAGGUCCCGCACAAUGAACAAUGGCAGAGCCAGGACAAUAGGCCACACUUUGAGUUCUGCUAUCAGCCCCAGGGCAGGAAGAUGUGACCACCUUCUCGUUCCCACCCCAAUCUACCCCAACAGAACUUUCACAUGCCUAUCAUUUUACAGUCUAGGCUCUGCCUUUUACCCAAGGUAUUAAUAGUCUCAGGGUGCAUUCAGAGGAGGAGAUAAUUUGUAACUGUGAGGGAGCCGAGGAUGCACUUUAAUGCUGCAUGCACCCCCACCCCCACCCCCACCCCUUAGCCAGCAGAGACUGCCCUCAAGCAGCCAGUAUUCUAGCUGAGGAAACAAGACAGGAAUCAAGAAGUCAGACACAGCAUUGAGUCACUAUCCUAAUAAGUGCUGAAGCAGGACAGGGGCUGUGAGAAUAAGUGACAGAGCACCUGACUCAGUAGACCUGGUGUGGUACAGUCAGGGCAGGCCUCCUUACAUGAGUAACAGGGAGCAAGAAAGUGCUGGGAGAGUGUCCCAGAAAAUGCAAAAACCAAGUGCCAGAAAAGAGUGUGGCUUUUCCAGGAUCGGAGAGGGGACCUGUGUGACUGGAGGAGAGUCUGACGGGCAGGAUAGAGAGGAAAACCCCCAGGAGUAGGCCUCACUGCAGGGCUCCAGGACAUUUUGGUAGCCUGGAAUCUGUGUGGGGACUUCCUCAGAGGUCACAGGCAAAAAAUAUAUAUAUAGCAGCUUGUUAUUUUCUGCAGAAGGAAGGGCAAAAAAAGAAAUCUUUUCCUGUAGAUGUGUACCUGAGAUGUUCACUAGGGAUGGCAAAAAUCAGAACGGAUGUUAUUCUAAAUAGGAUGGUUGAAAACGCAGGUGGGGUGACAGUCUGUGAACUCACUCAGGAACCCAACCCCGGAGUGGUAGAUUGGAAUCUUCCUGGAUGUGGAAUCCAAGACCUGGCAUGAGACCUCUUUGACAUCUCUGAGCCUUGCUUUCCAAGUCUGUGAAACAAAGACAGGAAAACUUCUUGGCCUCAGAGAGGCCAGCAAGAUGACCUACACGCUAAGGUAAAAGCCCCCUUUGCUCUGUAUUCCUUAUUUGCAUAUACAUUUGAUACAUCCCAGGCACCACGCAAAGGGCUCUCAUGAAUUUUCACUAUAGCCCCAUGAGGUCAGUGCUCUCAUUAUUUAAUUUUCCUCGUGCAUAGGGAGGUCAAGUCACUUGCCCAAGGUCACAUGGCUCUAAGCGCAGACCCGGGACUAGUGCUCUGACUUCCUGAUGCCCAGGGAAGAACGUCCAACACCCAGUCGCGGUCCCAGUGUCAUGACCUAAGGAGAAGGGUUGGCUGUGUAGACUGUUUGCUGGAAGAGUAGCAACAAACGGAACUUGGAUCUCUAGGGAAUCCGUAAGCAGCCAGCCCAGCCUGAGCGCGGGGCGGGGCUGCGGCCGCAGGAAGCGCUGGGAUGGUCCGCUGCCCGGCAGGUGCGCUUGCAGCUGCGCAUGCGCGGCCUGCCGGCUCUGCAGAGCCCUGGUGCGGACCAGCCGCUGGGGGUAGGCAGAGUCCUGUGAUUUACGCACGGGUCAUGUGACGGCAGAGAGCCUGUUUGUGGCUUGGCCACUACACCAACAGGACAUAAGCAGGUGGGGGGAUGGAUGCAGAGUGGAGCGCUGGAGGUUGGGGAUAAGGACGGGGAACAGCGUGGAGUGACCAAAGGAGGGGAGAGAGGGACAGACGAGCCAGAAUAGGCAAUGGGGCAGACCAAGUUGAGACGGAAGAAAUGGGGUACAGUUGCUGCCACGAAACCUGGUUAUACUGUGGAUCCAGUGGCUUGGGUCCCCCGCAUACCCAGGGCCUGUUGGAGAGCCCUGGGUCCAGAGUCCAGGCCUCUUCUCCGACGGUCUCCGAGCUUGCACCUACCUCCCUUCUUUUAAGCUGCAUCAUCAGCUGCAUUUUUCCAUGUUAACCCCCACCCGUUCUCAUGAACACUGGGCAUUUAGAUUCCCCUACAUUAUUUAUUUUAAAAAAAUUUUUUUAAUGUUUUUAUUUUGUUUCUGAGAGAGACAAGGGUGUGAGCAGGGGAGGGGCAGAGAAAGGGGGAGACAACAGAAUCUGAAGCAGACUCCACGUUCUGAGCUGUCGACACAGAGCCUGACAAGGGGCUCGAACUCAAGGAUUCUGAGAUCAUGACCUGAGCUGAACUCCCAUGCUUAACCCAUUGAGCCACCCAGGCACCCUGUGGUUUCCGCUACAUUCUUUUAGAAGCAGUUUCUAGGGGCACCUGGGUGGCUCAGUCGGUUAAGCAUCCGACUUCAGCUCAGGUCAUGAUCUCACACUCUGCGGUCGAGCCCGUCGUGGGGCUCUGUGCAGACAGCUCGGAGCCUGGAGCCUGUUUCAGAUUCUGUGUCUCCCUCUCUCUCUGCCCCUCCCCUGCUCAUGCUCUGUCUCUCUCUGUCUCAAAAAUAAAUAAAAACAUUUUUAAAAAUGUAAAAAAAAAAAAGCAGUUUCUAAAGAAUUAAACAAAAUAAUAUUUACAAGAUUUUUUACCUAGGACUGGGAACCUAGUCAGGACCCAGUGCAUGUUAGCUAUUAAUAUCCUUAAAAGUGACAUAACAUGAGGCUGUGUCUUGCCUCCUUUGCUGCUGUAGAUUCAUUGGCAGAGAAUGAAAAAGUAAUUGUCUCCAUUGCAGCCACCCACCAUCCCAGCACCUACAAAGAGCCGCUGGGCUUGGAGUUCUUGAGUUUGGUAGAUCCUUGCCCCCCAAGAGUGAGUUAACAGAUUUUUGUAUCUGAGGUCAGAAAAUAAUAUCAAAAGGGCUUUGUUUUCAAAGUCUAGGCCAGGGUCUCAAAUUCAAAGGACUGUAGAGGCCAUGCAAAGGUGAGGACACCACAGAUAAGACAACUGCAGACCAUAUACCUUGCCCAGAGGGGAGUCCUUACUCAGCUCCAAUCAAUAGUUUCCAUGCAGCGACGUAGAAUCUUGACUGUAGGAAUUGUGACAUCUCCCAAUGGUUAAGUAUCACAGUGGACUAAAAAAUAAUCUUUAGGGGUGCCUAGGUGGCGCAUUGGUUUGGUCAUGCAACUCUUGAUUUCGGAUCAGGUCACGAUCUCAUGGUUGGUGAGUUCAAGCCCUACAUCAGGCUCUGUGCUGAUAGCAUGGAGCCUGCUUGGGAUUUUCUCUGUUUGCUCCCCGCCCCCCACUCAUGUUUUCUCUCUCUCUCUCUCUCUCUCUCUCUCUCUCUCUCUCAGAAUAAAAAUAAAUUAAAAAAAAAAAGAUUAGGGGCACCUGGGUGGCUCAGUCAGUUAAGCAGCUGACUUCAGCUCAGGUCAUGAUCUCAUGGUCUGUGAGUUCCAGCCCUGCGUUGGGCUCUGUGCUGACAGCUCAGAGCCUGGAGCCUUGCUUCCGAUUCUGUGUCUCCGUCUCUCUCUGCCCCUCUUCCCCUGCUUACCCUCUGUCUCGCCCUUUUUCAAAAAUAAUAAACAUUAAAAAUUUUUUAAUAAAUAAAUAAGAAAGAAAGAUUAUUUUUUUAAUAACACCACAUUGGCCAAACAUCGGAGGGACACAUCCGGCCCCCAAGCCACCUGCAUCCAAACUCUGAGGGACUAAUACCUCUUCUCAAAGGGGAAAGGUUGGAUUCUGCCAUGCAACAGGUUCCCAGAGAGGCACUGGAUUUUACCCUGCUCACAUAGAGUCCCAUUGGGGGCAGGGCUCUGGACAGGGGCAGUGGUGGUGUGAAUGCUUCCCACACAGUCUUGACGGUCAAGAAAGAGUCCCUCUGCUCAGCCUGGCUCUGCGGCAGAGAUUAGGGCCAGCCACUUUUGAAUGAACUGGUGAACCCUUCAGAGGAAGCCUCCAUGGACAGCUGAUAGGGGCAGUUCAGACUUGCCUGGACUGUGAAAACCAUUGGAACAAGGAAAGAGCUACUCCCAAAUGCCAGAUACGAGAAGUCCCAGUGACCUCAGCCAGUGGGGGUUUAAAGCUGGUUUUAUUCUGAUUUAGAAAAAUAAAGAAAUGUGGCAUUUUUUACAUUGUGGAUAUCAGAGAACAAUUUGUAUCUUUUACACUUUACGCUUUACGUUAAAUUGUCGUAAGAUCCCAGAGGAAGGGAUUUUCAUUCCAACUGGGGAAAUAGUUUUGUUUAGGUGUGUUUUGCUUCUGGCCAGUUUGGCCAGAAAGAUUCGUGGAAGAAGUAGCAUUUGAGCUGAGUCCAGAAGCUGAGGAGAGAAAGAUCGAAUCCAAUCAAAGAAAAGAGCAUAGACCCAUGGUUCCCAAACUGUGUGCUCAGGCACCCUGGGGUGCCAUAGUAAAUUAACAGGAGCAUAGUAAAAUAUUUUAAAUUCUGGAGAGAAACAGUAUCAUCUGUUGGACACUGUGAAAACUAGUAGCUGGAAAUAGUUAACAAUUUCAGCAUUAAACUUUACUACAUUCUUUUCUAUGACAUUGUAUCUUUGUAAAUGUGGGUUUUCAUCAAUUGAUGCGACAAGAAGCAAAUAACUCCUGUAAAUCAAGGUGGAACAGGAAAUGAGAGUUGAUGUCCGAUGUCCCAUGUGAUUGCAAGGUCUGAGAAGAUGCACAGAUACCAUUAAAUUUUGUUUGUUUAUAGAAAAAUAGAUCCGGUUAUAUAGUGUGGAAUCCUUUUCCUCCUGAAACCCUGCUAAAGAAAUAGCAGCGGAAUUAUAAGAAGUUAAAAUCCACAAGGACACAAAGAACAGAAAAAGGAGGGAAUGGGAGAUGAGCGACAAAAGUCUGGAAGAUGAACAGCACGUAAUUCAUGACUGCGGAGAAAAGAGGAAGUGGAAACAUGAAUCUUCAAAAAGAGACCAGCGGACUCAACCACAGGACCUUGGAACGGCUCAGGAUUCAUUGGUACCACGUCCUUCCAAAGAUGAGGAAACCAAGCCGUUCGUCCGAACUCUCACAGCCAACAAGAGAAAGGAUCCAAACCAUGCCAUGUGGUGAGGAGGGACAGUAGGAUACAGUACUCUGUGGUUUGGACUUCAUUUCUCUCUCCAUGAGACCCAUGGAAGGUUUUCAAAUAUGGGAGAGACAUUUAUUUAUUUAUUUAUCCAUUUAACAUUUAAGAAAUAUGCAUCAGGUGCCUGUGGUGUGCUGGGCACUCUGCCAGGCGCUGAGCACUCCAGGGUGACAAAAUGCAGGACCGAGUACUCUGCCAGGGCAGGAACGGGGAGCCAGGGAGGCCUGCAGAGGGGCACCCAGUCCAGCCAGGGAUUUGGAAAGGACUCCUGGGAAAGGCAAAGUUGAGACUUCAAGGCUGAGCUGGAGUUCACGUGGGAAAGUGGGGGCGCCCAGUGACCCACCUGUGGCCGUGUUGGCCCGGCCCACUUAGCAGCUAAGAGCAGGCUGGGUCGGAGUUGAAGGCACCAAGGGAGACUAGGGCAAUAGUUCAGGUCAGAGCCAUGGAGUCUCUGGGACUCUCCUGGGGACGGACACGGGAGGGGCUGAGCAUAACUGAGAUGAAUAAAAACAGCCCCUGCCACUUCUCGGGCACCCUUGGCUGCCAAAUGCUUCAAGCACAAUAUCUCAUUUCAUCUCCCUCAAAAUUCUAUCAGGUAGGUAUGAUGAUUUACGUGCAUUUCACGGAUGCAGACACUGAGACAUAGCACAGCCUGAGGCACAUAGCAAAGGCUUGGCUGAACCAGGAUUUGAACCAGGCGUGACUGAGCCUGAAGCCUGAACUCUUAACCACAUAGUUCGGAACUUCUUUGAGCCAGACACAGAAGGAUACGCUAUGAGUCCAUGCAUAUAAAGCUUCAAGAACAGUCUAAUCUAUGAUGGUAGAGCUCAGGUUAAUGAAUUUCUCAUGGGGAUGGAAGGCAAGGAUACUCCCUGGGAAGAGAGAUGAGG